rnacentral:misc_RNA from 1 species
GAUGAAGAACGCAGCGAAAUGCGAUAAGUAAUGUGAAUUGCAGAAUUCAGUGAAUCAUCGAAUCUUUGAACGCACAUUGCGCCCGCCAGUAUUCUGGCGGGCAUGCCUGUUCGAGCGUCAUUUCAACCAUCAAGCCCCCCGGCUUGUGUUGGGGACCUGCGGCUGCCGCAGGCCCUGAAAAGCAGUGGCGGGCUCGCUGUCACACCGAGCGUAGUAGAUCUCAUCUCGCUCAGGGCGUGCUGCGGGUUCCGGCCGUUAAACCACCUUCAUAACCCAAGGUUGACCUCGGAUCAGGUAGGAAGACCCGCUGAACUUAAGCAUAUCAAUAGCGGAGGA